rnacentral:rRNA from 1 species
CCCUUAGAUGUUCUGGGCCGCACGCGCGCUACACUGAUGCAUUCAACGAGUCUAAAACCUGCUCUGAUAGGGGUGGUUAAUCUUUUGAAUGUGCAUCGUGAUUGGGAUAGAUGAUUGCAAUUUUUCAUCUUCAACGAGGAAUGCCUAGUAAACGCAAGUCAUCAGCUUGCAUUGAUUACGUCCCUGCCCUUUGUACACACCGCCCGUCGCUCCUACCGAUUGAAUGAUCCGAUGAAUAUCAUAGACUGAGAGUAUAAGCAGGUUCGCCUGUCUUUGCUUCUCGGGAAGUGAAGUAAAUCUUAUCAUUUAGAGGAAGGAGAAGUCGUAACA